UGAAAUUGUUUCCAUAUUUGUCUGUCCUUGCAGCUAUGUUGCCCGGGCCAUCUAUUCCAGUGUUGUCACAGUCCUUUCUGGUUUGGCAACUUAUCUUAUCUGCCCUCAUCUUGGGAAGGAAAUAUAGAGCAAAUCAAAUCCUUGGCUGCUUGCUUGUUACAACUGGAGUAAUUCUAGCAGUGGCCGGUGGAGCCAGU